GGGGAUUUAGCUUAGUGGCAUAAGCACCUGCCUCGCAAGCUGGCAGUCAUGAGUUCAAUCCCCA
rnacentral:tRNA from 1 species